UACAGAGGGUGCGAGCGUUGUUCGGAAUUAUUGGGCGUAAAGGGCGCGUAGGCGGUGCCACAAGUCACUUGUGAAAUCUCCGGGCUUAACUCGGAGCCUGCAGGCGAAACUGUGGUGCUGGAGUGUGGGAGAGGUGCGUGGAAUUCCCGGUGUAGCGGUGAAAUGCGUAGAGAUCGGGAGGAACACCAGAGGCGAAGGCGGCGACCUGGACAGGUACUGACACUCAACUACGAAAGCGUGGGUAGCAAACAGG
rnacentral:rRNA from 1 species